UACGAAGGGUGCAAACGUUGCUCGGAAUUAUUGGGCGUAAAGCGCACGUAGGCGGCUUUGUAAGUUAGAGGUGAAAGCCCGGGGCUCAACUCCGGAAUUGCCUUUAAUACUGCCAGUCUCGAGUCCGGAAGAGGUAAGUGGAACUCCUAGUGUAGAGGUGGAAUUCGUAGAUAUUAGGAAGAACACCAGUGGCGAAGGCGGCUUACUGGUCCGGUACUGACGCUGAGGUGCGAAAGCGUGGGGAGCAAACAGG
rnacentral:rRNA from 1 species